UACGUAGGUGGCAAGCGUUGUUCGGAAUUAUUGGGCGUAAAGGGCGCGUAGGCGGUUUGUUAAGUCGGCUGUGAAAGCCCGGGGCUCAACCCCGGAGGGUCAGCCGAUACUGGCAGACUAGAGUACGGAAGAGGUAGCUGGAAUUCCCGGUGUAGCGGUGAAAUGCGUAGAUAUCAGGAGGAAUACCGAUGGCGAAGGCAGGUCUCUGGGCUAACACUGACGCUCAUGCACGAAAGCGUGGGGAGCAAACAGG
rnacentral:rRNA from 1 species